GUGUCCACAGGGGGGAAGCAUUACUCCGAAAGGGAGGCAAAAGGAAGCUCAGUUUAAUGCAGAGCAUUUGAUACAGACAUGUGAAAAUGGGAAGGAGAUAUUGCUGUGACUUGAAGUACAUAAAGCAACGCCAUGGCUUCAAGGCAGAAGGUUGCAGAACACUAGAAAUAUCCCAUACAGAGUCCAGAAUCCUACUCCAACACCCAAACCAAGACAUCAUGCCAGAUGAAGGUAUUGACAAUUCAGCUCUGAAGAAAGUCUCCACUCACUUUAACUGAAACUUCUCCUCCUAUUACAAAACCCACAUGAUGGCUGUCAAGGCUGAUUCUUGGGCUCUUCUGAAGAUUAAGAAAAACCCUUGCAGAUAGAAAGCCAGGUCUGGGAGCAGGACAGAGACACAAGUUGGCUGGCAGCGCAGACCUUGAUGGAAGAUCUACCAACUGUGGGAUCGUGGGAGUCCAGAUCUUUUGGAUGCUUCCAACUGGAGAUAAACAUUCUUCUCCAACGUGAUCCAAGAGAAGACAACAGGGACAACACAUAAUGGUUCCCACACUGAACCACAUCCAGUUUCUCUUGUGCCAGCCAUGAUUUCUCCAAAACCAACCUCUCCUUCUCUGUUACUUCAUCACUAGUAACAGAGUCCCUCCGGGGAGAUAGUGUGGAAUUUAAAUAAAGAUGAUUACGACGACAAUGAUGA